UGAGCAAUCUGCCCUUCUCAUCGGAAUAAGCGUUGGAAACGACGUCUAAUGCCGAAUACGACCUCCUUUCGCAUGAUCGGAGGUGGAAAGCUCCGGCGGUCAGGGAUGGGCUCGCGGCCUAUCAGCUUGUUGGUGAGGUAAUGGCUCACCAAGGCUUCGACGGGUAGCCGGCCUGAGAGGGCGACCGGCCACACUGGGACUGAGAUACGGCCCAGACUCCUACGGGAGCAG
rnacentral:rRNA from 1 species